rnacentral:rRNA from 1 species
UACGGGGGGGGCAAGCGUUGUUCGGAAUUACUGGGCGUAAAGGGUUCGUAGGUGGCCAACUAAGUCAGACGUGAAAUCCCUCAGCUCAACUGGGGAACUGCGUCUGAUACUGGUCGGCUUGAGUGCAGGAGAGGAACGCGGAAUUCCAGGUGUAGCGGUGAAAUGCGUAGAUAUCUGGAGGAACACCGGUGGCGAAGGCGGCAUCCUGGACCAACAUUGACGCUGAGGAGCGAAAGCUAGGGGAGCAAACGGG